CUCGCGGAGGUACUGCUCCACCCUAAGUCCUAUAAUGAGUAAGGUUACUCGGACGUGGCCCACAGAGGGUGAAAGGCCCGUGGGGGUGGAGACUCAGAUUGGCCAGUAUCUCCCUGAGUGGACCUUGGAGUCGGGUUGUUUGUGAAUGCAGCCCAAAGUGGGUGGUAAACUCCAUCCAAGGCUAAAUACUAACACGAGUCCGAUAGCGAACAAGUACCGUGAGGGAAAGUUGAAAAGUACUUUGAAGAGAGAGUAAACAGUGCGUGAAACCGCUCAGAGGUAAACGGGUGGAGUUGAACUGCAAGCUCUGAGAAUUCAACUGGUGAGUAUGGCAUGAGCUGGGUAUAUUGGUUGACGGUUCGGGUCUGCUGAGCUGCAGGUCCUCGCCUUUUGGUGGGGAUGCGCGAUGCACUUGCCAAGUGUUGUGCGCCCGGACUGUAUCGGACCUGCUUGCCAGUGCACUUUCUCAGAGUAAUCACCACGACCGGCGUUGCUGUCUGGCUGUUGUAGUUAAACCGGCCUUGUAGAGUCCUUGUGGCUUUGCUUGGUCGGGAUGGCAGGUAGCCCGUUGUGCACUUUUGUGUGCUUCGGGUGUAAUCGCUGACUGCAUCAGUUCUGUGCGGUACGUCGGAGACGGCGGCUUGUUGUGUGUGCGUGCGUACUUGUUAUGCUGGCGGUGCUGAGUCUGGUUGCCGUGUUGCUUGCAAAUGCAAGCCCGGUGAUGGCUUGGUGUCGUUCGGUGUGCGGUUGCGUGCGUGGCACUAUACAGGGCCAAUAGUCUGUGGUGUAGUGGUAGACUAUCCACCUGACCCGUCUUGAAACACGGACCAAGGAGAGUAACAUGUACGCGAGUCAUUGGGCGUUACGAAACCCAAAGGCGCAGUGAAAGUAAAGGUUCGGCUUGUCCGGACUGAGGUGAGAUCCUGCCGUUUCUCACGCGCGGUACUACCAAGCAUCGAGCGGCAGGCGCAUCACCGGCCCGUCCCAUGGCGUAGAGGCGGCCUUGUGCUUGCUCAUCGUCGGGGCGGAGCAUGAG
rnacentral:rRNA from 1 species